AUGGAUGUGAGAUUUGAAGACCAGCGUGGGGAUUUGUGUGGUGUGGGAGUGGAGAGUGACGGAGGCCUGGAUUCAGGCAGGUGACUGCAGGAGGAUGAUGACCUUGAAACCGAUGGAGAGGUGGCCAUGGUGGGGCUGGGGAUGCAGCAACGGGGGCGUGUCCUAAUUAUAAAUGUUCAUGUGAGAAAAUGUUUUGCUUGCCCCCAUGGCCUGGGGCUCUUGAUGGACCACAUGAUCUGCCCAUCUUCUGUUCUCCCACUACAUCCCAAG
rnacentral:lncRNA from 1 species